AGAGUUUGAUCAUGGCUCAGAUUGAACGCUGGCGGCAUGCCUUACACAUGCAAGUCGAACGGCAGCACGGGAGCAAUCCUGGUGGCGAGUGGCGAACGGGUGAGUAAUACAUCGGAACGUGUCCUGUAGUGGGGGAUAGCCCGGCGAAAGCCGGAUUAAUACCGCAUACGCUCUACGGAGGAAAGGGGGGGAUCUUAGGACCUCUCGCUACAGGGGCGGCCGAUGGCAGAUUAGCUAGUUGGUGGGGUAAAGGCCUACCAAGGCGACGAUCUGUAGCUGGUCUGAGAGGACGACCAGCCACACUGGGACUGAGACACGGCCCAGACUCCUACGGGAGGCAGCAGUGGGGAAUUUUGGACAAUGGGCGCAAGCCUGAUCCAGCAAUGCCGCGUGUGUGAAGAAGGCCUUCGGGUUGUAAAGCACUUUUGUCCGGAAAGAAAUCCUUUGGGCUAAUACCCUGAGGGGAUGACGGUACCGGAAGAAUAAGCACCGGCUAACUACGUGCCAGCAGCCGCGGUAAUACGUAGGGUGCAAGCGUUAAUCGGAAUUACUGGGCGUAAAGCGUGCGCAGGCGGUCCGCUAAGACAGAUGUGAAAUCCCCGGGCUUAACCUGGGAACUGCAUUUGUGACUGGCGGGCUAGAGUAUGGCAGAGGGGGGUAGAAUUCCACGUAGCAGUGAAAUGCGUAGAGAUGUGGAGGAAUACCGAUGGCGAAGGCAGCCCCCUGGGCCAAUACUGACGCUCAUGCACGAAAGCGUGGGGAGCAAACAGGAUUAGAUACCCUAGUAGUCC
rnacentral:rRNA from 1 species